rnacentral:rRNA from 1 species
ACGCUAAAGCUCGAAAGUGCGGGUAUCGAACAGGAUUAGAUACCCUGGUAGUCCGCACGGUAAACGAUGGAUGCCCGCUGUUGGCGAUACAAUGUCAGCGGCCAAGCGAAAGCGUUAAGCAUCCCACCUGGGGAGUACGCCGGCAACGGUGAAACCCAAAGGAAUUGACGGGGGCCCGCACAAGCGGAGGAACAUGUGGUUUAAUUCGAUGAUACGCGAGGAACCUUACCCGGGCUUGAACUGCCGGCGAACGAUACAGAGAUGUUGAGGCCCUUCGGGGCGCCGGCGGAGGUGCUGCAUGGUUGUCGUCAGCUCGUGCCGUGAGGUGUCGGCUUAAGUGCCAUAACGAGCGCAACCCCUCUCCGUAGUUGCCAUCGGGUGAUGCCGGGCACUCUGCGGACACUGCCACCGUAAGGUGUGAGGAAGGUGGGGAUGACGUCAAAUCAGCAUGGCCCUUACGUCCGGGGCUACACACGUGUUACAAUGGGUGGUACAGAGGGCAGGCGUCCGGCAACGUCCGUCUAAUCCCGAAAGCCAUCCUCAGUUCGGACUGGGGUCUGCAACCCGACCCCACGAAGCUGGAUUCGCUAGUAAUCGCGC